AUCUCAUUCAGAAGACCUUAUAUCUAAAGGUUAGAUAGACAACAUAAGGAAAUUUUUAACUAUUUGUAUGUCAUUUUGAAAGUGUACUGCUUUAUGCUAAAAGUGUUUCAUUUGUUCAUUGUUUUCAUUAUUUGUGAUCAUGUUGUCUUUCAAUACAGGCAUAAACCUUCCACUCUUGAACAAAGCAGCUGCUUUUUAAAAGCGAGAAAAAGGAAAGCGAGUCACAGGCCACUCAACGCCUACUCCAUGGGUCUGAUUUGCUGAGACACCAACUUCACCUUCCUAACAAGGUGCAGCUCAAAAGAAGAUGAUGGCUACCAGAAGACAUGAACAAAGGGUAAGUGGCAUUAAACCUCUGAAGAACCUUUGUGUGUGUAUUGACCUGUACGCAAGAAGGCAGACCAGUCUGUGAUACUGCUGGAGAUAGAGCGACCUUCUACAGUACGUGUAACGUUGUGACUCGGGUGGAGGAUGUUGAGAAGUGGCAAUCACUUGACAUAAAUAAAGUACCUGUAAA
rnacentral:lncRNA from 1 species